rnacentral:rRNA from 1 species
GGGGUUAAAUUAAUAAAGGUUAUAUUUAAUAAAAAAAAUUUUAAUAUUAAAAAGAAAAAAUGGGGGUUGGAGUAUUUUUAAUAGAAAAAAUUAAAAGUUUUAUAGUAAAAUAUUACUGUAAAGGAAAUUAUAAAUAUUUGAAAUUUAAUUAAUAAAAAAGUAGAUUUAAUUUAUUGUAUCUUGUGUAUCAGAGUUUAUUAAAUAUAAGUAAUUUAUUUAAAUAAAUCUCGAAUUUAAAAGAGUUAAUUAAUUAAUAAAGUUAAUGUUGUAUAAUUAUUUUAAAUAAUUAAUUGGAAAUGAAAUGUUAAUCGUUUUUAAAUAUAUCUAGUUUUUUUAGAAAAAAAUUUAAUUUUAAAUUUAAAUAAUUUUAUAAUUUUUUAAUUAAUUAUGAAAAUUUAAAAUUUAAUAUUUUAGGGGAUAAGCUUUAAAUUAAAUUAUUAUAAUUAAAAUUAAUCUAAUAAUUAAGAUUUUUAAAAUUUAUAUUGUUUAAAAAUUAUAAUUUAUUAUAAAAAAUUUUAUUUAAAAAUAAAAUUUAAUUAAAUUUAAAUUUUUAUAAAAAAAUAAUUUAAAAUUAUAAAAAAUUAAAAAUAAUGAUAAAAUUAGUAUAUUAAAAUUAAAUAAUAAGAAAAUUUUUAAAAAUUAAAUUAAAGGAAUUCGGCAAAAUUUAUAUUCACUUGUUUAUCAAAAACAUGUCUUUUUGAUAAUAAUUUAAAGUCUAGUCUGCCCACUGAUAAAAUUAUUAAAGGGCUGCAGUAUAUUGACUGUACAAAGGUAGCAUAAUCAUUAGUCUUUUAAUUGAAGACUUGUAUGAAAGAUUUGAUGAAAUAUAAACUGUCUCUAAUUUAUUAAUAAAAUUUAAUUUUUUAGUUAAAAAGCUAAAAUAAUAUUAAAAGACGAGAAGACCCUAUAAAGUUUUAUAAUUUAUUUAUUUAAUAUUAAAUAUAUAAUUAAAUAUAAUAAUUUAUAUAAAUUAUUUUAUUGGGGUGAUAAAAAAAUUUAAUUAACUUUUUUUUAUAUAAAAACAUAGAUAAAUGAAAUUAUGAUCCAUUUUUAAUGAUUAAAAGAAAAAAUUACUUUAGGGAUAACAGCGUAAUAUUUUUUUUUAGUACAAAUAAAAAAAAAAGUUUGCGACCUCGAUGUAGGAUUAAGAUAAAAUUUAAAUGCAAAAGUUUAAAAUUUUGAUCUGUUCGAUCAUUAAAAUCUUACAUGAUCUGAGUUCAAACCGGUGUGAGCCAGGUUGGUUUCUAUCUUUAAUAAAAUAAAAUAUUUUA